rnacentral:lncRNA from 1 species
AAACAAACAAAAAAAGAUAUUUGUUUAAAUAUUUUGAAAAAUACAAUAAAUCACCAAGUUUUCUCUAUAUAAAUAAACAGUCUGACUAUUAAAUUGCAAAUCUGAUUCCAAAUUUGCAGAUUUGGGCAAAUAACUAAACCAAUUUUGUACUGUUAUAUCACAAUCCAAGAUGGCGGUAUACCAUGAAUCUACCUUAAGUAACGGUUGAAGGUAGCAUGAAUUUGGAAACGCAUAUUUUUCACAGGCGUUUCUUUAUUUGUUUUGAAAGAAGUUGCAUUAAAAAGAAUAAUAGAUCUAGCCAUCUCUGUUUCGAUAUGAAUUUAAUUGUGAUUAGUUAAGCCGAACUGACAAUUUUUACAAAGAUUUUUUUAUUGGAAGGGAAACAAAGAAUUAAUGCUUUGUGCAUUUAUUUCUGAAACAUCUGUGUUUUUGAGAAGUCUAACUAUAUUUAGAUAGAUCUGUAAACUAUAUAUAUAAAUACCAUAAAAAAAAAAACCAAUACGUUUAUCAGCUCAUAAUCUAAUUUAGCAUAGAACAUGCAUACAUUGUAAGAAAGUUUAUAAAAUUCAUAUAUCAUGUACACACUAAAACACUAGAUCUAUUGAAGAUGAACACCACUUUAUAUUUGAAUGUAAAAAUUAUACACAAAUCCGAAAGAAAUAUAAAAAGAAUUAACGGAGAAAUCCAUCUGCAUACAAACUUAUCCAGUCGUUAUCUGUUAGAAAUGUUAUAGAAUAAAAUGAUUUGAGACUAUUUUUAAAAUCAGCUGAAAAACUUAGAAUAUGAUUGUAUGUGUAUAGUAUAAGUGUUUUCACAUACUGUGUUAUUACAUUAUACCAUUCUCAGAUUGUACUUUGUAUUAUGUGUUAUUUAUUAUUUUAUUUUCAAUUUUGUAUUUAUAUAUUGUGUAACUUGAAGAA